GGAAUAAAAUACUAUGACCAAGGGAAUUUAUGGAAGAGAUUAUUUUGGCUUGUGCCUCCAGAGGGAUGAGACCAUCAUGAAAGGGAGCUGGGAGAUCACAUGUUAAGCCCCAAACAUGAACAGAGAGAGUGAACUGGAAUUGAGGCUAGUCUACAUGCAAGUCUCAGAGCCUGCCCCUGAUCAAGAUCUAGAACUCUCAGUAACUUCUCUAGCCCCAUGUCUGCCUGGAUGCUGCCAUGCUUCCCACCAUGAUAAUAAUGAACUAAACCUCUGAAACUGCAAGCUUCCUCUGAUUUGGGACAAAAUGAAAACAGGCUGGUCUUCCCUUGUACCUGACACAGGUAAAUUGAGCUGGCCCAGACAGCAGAGCUCUGUAAGGCAUGUUGGUAUUGAUUGCUUCUUUGUCUCAGGGGCUAUAAGAAAUAUAACAGAUCUCAAAGGAAAAACAGUGGCUCUGUCAGCAAUCAUGGCACAGGAAGGUCACCUUUUCAUCCUGGUGCUAACAUCCAGCUGGAGUGGCAGUAUUACCAAAAUAAAAUCCUGAAAGGAGAAGCAGAAAUCAUGCUGACCCAGAAAGUGGAGAUCUGAUUGCUGAGAUUAAAGGCUUGAGCCAUCAUGAUUAUCUGUAAUAAAGUGAGGUGUUAGAGCCUGUGACCUAGUGAAGUGAACAUCGGGGCUGGAAGCAAGGUCAGAGUCAAAGUCUUUUUGAUAAAGAACCAGGAAUACAUACCAGCACAUCUGGGCUGACUGUCCUUCUUCCCAAGGGAUGGAUCAAUCUCAGAGAAGAUGGUCCUUCUUCUUGAUCUACAGGUAGUACCCUAAAUAUGGUACAGCCCAUUUUCCUUCUUGCACUGUACACUUAAUAAAAUUAAGUAAAUUAAAGAAUGAACUUUCCAGUUAUAUUAUUUGUUCAGGCUAGUUAAAUUCACCCUCAACACCUAUACCUGCCACACACACCUAACUACAUAUCCCUGUAUGUGUGAGGGGGGUUGCCAUGUCUGCUGUUCUGCAAACUAUUUGAGAAAGCUUGGUGGCCACAGAGGCUAUGAGAAGGGUGUCAGUUGGCCUGGGAAUGGAAGAGCAGUCAGUGCUCUUAAAUUCUGAGCUAUGCCUUUCCAGUGGACAGUUUUCAGCAUGAAAUCAGUCAUAAUUUUAGUGUGAAUGUUUUACAACUCAUUGUCCUUUAAUAUAUGUAAGACUAACUAGUAUUGAUGAUGGUUCACUUUUCUUAACCUCGAAAGUCAAACUAGGACAGACUUGCACACUACCUAGCUAUUGGGGAGAUAAUUGAUGUGCAGAAAAGGAACUUGUCUAGUCAGUAAAGUGUCGUUGUUUUUUUGGGGGGGGGGGGUUAAUAAUAGAAAUUGUAUUUUGUCUCUAUAUUUUAUUACAAGUUCUUGUUUUGAUUCUCAUAUUAUUUCAAGGGUACUCUCUAGAUCAGUAGAGCCUCCUUACAAGUCACCACAUGUAAAUUGGAUUUACAUGCCUAUCAUCUAGAGGAUAGCAAGCACAGAGAACAGCAAAGACAAAAAAGAAAGGACAAAGAACUCAGAGGGUGACACAUUAAUCACUUUGGGUCAUUUUUUUCCUGUUUUACCUUGACUCUGACUUCCAACAAAAAGAGAACAUCAAGAAGAAGAAAAUGAAAGAAACAAACGUCUUUGGAGCCCUGGUGUUGUCGUCAAGUCAAAUUUUUAAAAGACAGAGAGGAGUUGUGAAAAUCAGCUUGCUUAGUGGAAGUCCGCAGUGUUAUAUAAUCAGUACCAUUGUGCUUUAUCUUACAGAAAGUUAACAUGGCCGGUGGUCACACAGUUACUGAAGAAUUGAACUGUAACCUACAAUUCUUAUUCUCUCUCUCU